GACGAACGCUGGCGGCGUGCUUAACACAUGCAAGUCGAACGGAAAGGCCCUGCUUGCAGGGUGCUCGAGUGGCGAACGGGUGAGUAACACGUGGGUGAUCUGCCCCUUACUUUGGGAUAAGCCUGGGAAACUGGGUCUAAUACUGGAUAGGACCAUGCUGUAGGUGGUGUGGUGGAAAGAUUAGUUUCGGUAAGGGAUGAGCUCGCGGCCUAUCAGCUUGUUGGUGGGGUAAUGGCCUACCAAGGCGUCGACGGGUAGCCGGCCUGAGAGGGUGGACGGCCCCAUUGGGACUGAGAUACGGCCCAGACUCCUACGGGAGGCAGCAGUGGGGAAUAUUGCACAAUGGGCGCAAGCCUGAUGCAGCGACGCCGCGUGGGGGAUGACGGCCUUCGGGUUGUAAACUCCUUUCGGCCAUGACGAAGCCCUUGUGGUGACGGUAGUGGUAGAAGAAGCACCGGCUAACUACGUG
rnacentral:rRNA from 1 species